UCUGCCGGCCCCGGCUGCGGCACAGCCAGCUUCAUCUGUACCGCGGAACGUGAGUCUAUAGAGAAUGGAAAAUCGCCGGGAUUUCACCUUUGGAAGCUCUACGCUGAACACAGAAGGGCCAAACUCGCAGGACUAUCCUCUCCCUACACAAAGCUAUUGCUUUGACUCUGAGGUGUUUGGUUAAGGAGAUGAACAAGAAGUUUUGGAAGCUUUGCUAAUUUUGACAGCAAGAUUCAGCUUUCUCUGUGUUGCCUGGAAGAAUCUGCUCUUGUGGGAGUGACUAAAGUGUCAUGAGGACAGAAAAAGAAACAGCUUCAUUUUAAGAGGUUAAUGGUUCCUGGAUUCUGAAGGACCCACCACUUGCCAAAAUUUCUGCUUGCUUUUCUCCUCUCAGCAUUCAUGCUGCUGUCAAGCUAGACAACAUCUUUCCCUCACCAAGGAAAAACAUUGACCUUUACUUGUGUUGACAAAUACAGCAGAAGACAAAUCCAGAUACAAAUAUUUUCAUCCAUUGCCACAGAAACUCCCUGAGAGCCAUAGAGCCUGGUCAGGUCAGUUGAAAUGUGAACGCAGUCCGUUGGCUGAGAAUGGAUGGAAAACCUUUCUCUCCCUAACAAAGCAGCUUCGUGCGCUCUUCUACCCAGCUCAGGAGGAGAACAUCUCUAUUCCUGCAGCCCUGCUUUAUUUCUCUUUUAGGUCAGCUUUUGUAUGAGGAGAAAGACAAUGAAGCUUACGAGUGGUUGGAGGAGGUGGUGAAAAGUAGAGCAGAGGAACUGGUUUAAAAAGCUGUGCAGGUCAGGCACGUUAUUCUUGCUGAGGCUUUUUAGAGACAACUGAAUAUUUCUAUCCCCAGAAUUAGAACUGCUUUCUUAUAGCUCUACUGCUGUAAUUGAAGUUUAGAUCUCAGUUCAAUAGCCAGCAGCACCAUGACUGGCAUCUGUAAGAAAAAGAGGACAAAUAAGCUAGUAGUUUUUCUGCUUUUGAAAUUAAAAAUGAUGAAUGCCAAGAUCUUCAAAAUUUCAAGAAAUUUCAGCCCAAGGGAUUUUCUCAGUUGGCUUCAAUGGUCUUUGGAUCCCGCCUGUAGAGAGAAUGCUUUUAGAGCAAAAUGUAAUAACAAGCAAGAAGUACACUAAAUCUCAUAGCCACUGUACUGCAGAAUUGUAUCAAGCUGCAUUCCUUUGCAGGUCUAUAUACUCAAUGAGGAUAGCAUUUCAGAUUCUUUUAACCACUUAAACCCUUGUUCUCUAAUAUCCAGUUUGGCCUGUAUUGCAGCUUAGGGAAGUGCUAGGGCAGGCUUGAGCUAGGAGAUGCAGACCAGAGGUAGGUACAUCGUGGUGAGAGGAGAAGGCCACGUUUCAAGUUUUGGUCCAAACACUUCUCUUUGGCAUUGCUUAUUAGUAAAUCACAGAAUGGCUUGGGUUGAAAGGGACUUUAAAGAUCACGUCGUUUCACUCCCUGCCAUUGUCAGGAACAACUCUCACCUGGUCAGACUGCCCAAAAUCCGAACCAUGGUCUCAUGGGCCUGUCCAUUACAGAGAUGAAAACUAAACAAAGCAACAACAAAAAAAAUUGAUUUGUCAAAACCAAAGAGUUUUGUCGAAGAAAUCAUUUUGAAAAGCAAAUUUUUAGAGAAAUUCUUCCAAGAAAGUCUCAUUUGAAUUUUCUGCAAUCACAUGCAUCAGUUUUUCAUUUUGAAAUACUUUUUACUGCAUUGGACUUCUACUUCAAUAAUGCAUUUAUUUUUUUUUUAAUCGUGCUUUUAAGGUGGAGAAUGAGGAACUGCAUUUUUAUCAAAAUGAGACAUUGAGAGAACUCAAUGAAGGCUGUUGGUUUUUUACAGGUGUUUUAGGUGAAUUUAUUUUCAUCUCAUAGGAAAUUUGGAAGAAAAAUUGAGCACUUUUGUUCCGUUCUGAGAAAAAAUGAUUUUUCAAAGCCAGCUCUUUCCCAUUAGAUUAAAUACAUCUGACUCUCACCCAUCCCUCAUUCUCAGGAACCCAUACAAUUUGCCAUGAUAGUCUGUAGCUGAGGUUUGGGUGCUUGGUGGGAGAAUAACCAAGGAAAAGCACUGUGCUGUCAGGGCAAUAGAAUUGUUGGCUAGUGGCUAGGAGUGGCUGAGCUUGAGAAUUACCAGUGGAUGCCUGCAAGUUGGCAGCAUGGCUGGAAGGUAUCCAGGAUCUCAGAGUGCCCAGAGUUUAAAGGCCUGCCCAGGAAAUAGCCUACUUUAACAGCUCUGGGACACCCGGGAGGCCUUUUUUGGUUAGGUGUAAACCUUUGCUCACACGCACACACCCCACCUUAAGCAGCAAUCGAGUCAUUCUCAAAGAAUGUCUUUAAAAAAAAAAUUAACAGCUUUACAUAAUGUUCCAGGAGAUUAAAAUUUUCUGCCUUCCAUUUCUUAAAGCUACUGGCUUACAAGAUAGCAAGUUGAAGCAACAAAAGGUUAUAUGUGGCUGUACUUGCUACCUCCAACCAUAGGGAGUAGCCUGGUACCUUGUUGUGCCCUUUCUUGGGUCAAGAGAGGAAAGAAAAGUGAGAUAAUCUUGGCUUAAGCUACAGAGUGUCCCUUUGCAUUUCUCAUACAAGAGCAAAAUGAUGCAUUUGGGAUCACUUUACCUCCUGUUAAGUCAUGGAUGCCUUCCAAACAUGUGUUCAAAAUCAAAAGUAUGUCCUCUUCAGGUGGAAUUUGGAGAUUCCCUUCAUUUCUCCAGUAUUUGUGAAAACAAACAAACAAAACCAGAUUAGAAGUAAGGAAUGGCUCUAAAUACUGCCAAUGUGGUAUCACCUGCUGGGCUUGAAGGGCUGUCUUGUUUUUCAAACAAACUGAAAAGUUUGCUCACAUUCAUAAGAAUUAAUUAAAUAUUGGUAUUUUAAGACUAUCUGUUCUGAAGAAAAAUAGUGCCAUUAGCAACAGGCAGAAGCAGCUGUUAGAAACAGUCUUUAUAAAACUGCACUGGGAGUAAAAAUCUCAACUUCGCAAUGAGAAACGAAGAACAGAAGAUAGGGCAGGUCAGCUGACAACUGCAGAGCCUGACCAUAUCUGCCAGCCUGUCUGGACAUUGGGCUCACCAAGUAGAGGCUUUCUGGGGAUCUCUGCUUGACUGUGAUUCUCGACAAAAUCUCCGCUUCUCAUAUUAGUAUAACAAAAAAUGUAGGCUUUGUUGUGAGACACUAUUCUACACUGCAGCUCUUUGCCUUCUUCCAGUCCAUUACACCGCAAACUGCAGCAGGGAUGAAGCUCAAAUAAGCACUCACAGACAAGCUGCUAGAAUCCUCAGAUGGAAAAAGGGUGUAAAGCAGAAAUAAUAUCUCAGAACAAAAGAAAAGGAUUUUCUGAAUUUUUCUCUCUUCUCAAGUAUUUGAUGAAAAUGUACCAAGAAGCAAAAAGGGACUAAAAGGAAAAACGACAAUGUAUGGGGCUUUCUGUCAGGCUCUGACUAUGAAAGAUGAGAAAGGAAAGAAAGAGACGAAAGAAAGGGAAGAAAUGACUAAGAAAAUGAAUAAAGGGAGGAAAUAGCUAAGAUGUGAAAAGAAAGUAAGAGACAAAAAUGACUGAGAAAAGGAGAAGAAAUUUUGAAGGAAACAUGUGAGGCUGCAAAAUAGUAGUUGUACAUGUCUCUAGUGGAAAAUGGUCAUUAUGGGGCACUUACAAGCAAAUAUGACAUUAAAAAUUACACAAUAGCAGAUAAGUAAAGGCUGUGGGUAGGUCUGGAUAGUUCUCCUCCAAAUAAGGCUGCCAAAAGUCAGUGUUCUCUUAUAGGAGCUAUUGUGAAGCUAAAGUUCACUUGUACUGAAAUGUUUCCUUACUUUGUAUCAUAGCCUGAUAAGUGAUUUGUUCCACUGGGAGAAAACCUUUUAUCACCACAGCCCAUGUGUGUUUUGUUGGCACAGUAUCUGGAGUCCAAUUAUUCAAUAUACUUUUUCAGCUGG